GCCAGCUCGGCCCGCAGCGCCGUCACCUCCUGCCCCGCCGCCUGCAGCGCCCCGUCGAUGCGCAGCGCCAGCUGCUUGUUGUCGUCCAUCAUGUGCAGGAUUUUGGCCUGGGGGAGGGAGGAAGAGGAGGAGAGAGAGAACUGCCCAGACGAGUCUGGGAGAGGCUUGACAUGAGCUAAAGCAGAAUCGCAUCAGUGUCCCGUGCGGCGAUGGUCCCCAGGGAGCGCUGGGAUGUGGCUCUGCAGAGGCAGAGGGGUUUGGGAUGCAGCACCCCUAGGCAGCGUUCAGGAACAGAAAUCAGGUAAGUGUCAUGUUCGUCCACUGAAAAACAACAUUAAGAUGGGCCUGGGUCCCCCAAAACCUCAGACCUGAUCUGAAUUGUGCAUAAAGCCAGCUCUCCAAGAGCCAAAAGGAUCAAGCCCAUGUCGAGUAUCAUCUAGACCUUGUGAUCUGUAAAAGGAUUUUGUAAAACAAAGAAAAUCUAGUGUUCAGAUAAAUGGUGCAGUGGCUUCUUCAUGGGAAAGUUAUUUUUAACUGAGUUUCCAGCGGUGUUUGCAACCGAACCAGCUGCGCUAGGCCAGGGUGCUUGGAAUAUGGGUGGAAUGGGCUCUUUUCCUUAAUGAAUUCCCAAAGGGCAGCCAAACAACCCACAAGGAGAAUAAAUGCCAUUUUUCAAAUUCUUUCUUCGUCAUCUAUGCAACCCUCCCUGCACAAGAUACAAUUCUUUAAGUAUAUAUAGAAACUGAAUUCUAAUCAAGAUAAAUGCCCGGUGUCACGCCUGAUUUGCAUGAGUAUUUGCUGCAAACUGUGCCUGUAAAUGAAGAGAAUUAUGUAUGUAACCGGAUAACCUGAAUGUGCAAUUGCGGCAGCAUAUAUGCAAAACUUAGUCAUUGCACUUGAAUAAAACGUAAGCUGCAGCAGAAAGGAACUCGGCUCUGAAGUGCAGGCACAUUAUUUUUAUCAUUAAAAAAAUCAGGUUAAAACUGAUUUGAGCCUUCCAAGAACACAUUCAGCUGCUGAAGCAAAGUCCAAAUUAUGGUUCUUGCUCAAUCUAACCUUAAUAAUAGACUAGUUGAGUUGCUGUACCGGCAGCACUGGAAUCUUUAAUUUACCGAUGCAAGAGAAUUUCUACAUUAGCAAGUGUGCUAUUUAAAAAAUAUAUUUCUUAAAGUUGGCUGUGGACUCAUCUGUAAAUUAAUAACCUCGCUUUAAAAAGUCUUCCUUAUUACUUCAGGUCCUUUUGAGAUUCCCAUGAAGAUAUCUUGAAAGGUUUCCUUGCCCAUACCACCUCCCGUCCUUACCAGGGAAGAGCUGGGUCCAUUUAAAAUUGAUUUGGACCUCUCGAAGCAGGAUUUGAUUUCUCGGAGCUUCCGCCUGGGAGAGCGCGACCCCGAGACAUCAGCCGAAGGAGCUCGUGCCCGGCUAUAGCGAGGGAUUUCCAGCGUUGGGGUGGCUGGGGCUCUGCUGGCCACACGCAAUGAAAUUGAAUUAAUAUGAUGGGGUGUCCCCCCUGUGCAGCGAUGCUGACCCCCCAGCCCACCCCCUGUCUCACGUGCACAUCCCUACAUGCUCCUGACCCAAAAUCUCCCUGGUUCUGAGAUAAGGGUGACGCACAAAGCCACAGAAAGGACCCGAUUGUUGCUCCAGCAGCAAAAUGCCUACAAGAAAGGAAUAAAAAUAUCAACCAGGUCUGUAUUCAAAAGGUGAUACCUGAGGAUUAUUUUGGGUUGUGCUGAUUCCUAAGGCCAAGCCUUUGCUGAAAUCCUCAACGCUGGGGUGAAACGAAGCGUUAGGAAAUGAAUUGGGCCUCUUUCCCUUCCUCAGCUUAGUUUUGAAUGAACAAAACAAAUUAAAUUAAAUCUAAUUAAAUAGCCAAAAUUAGAAACAUGUUAUUUCCCCAAAUUGCUUUUCUUCUGGUUUUUUUUUUAGUUCCAGUUUUCCCAGGAGUUUGCCAGCUCUGCAGCAAAUGUGUCCCCAAGGGACGGGCGUCCCCAGCCGCACCACGAGGCGCAGAGGGCUCGGGGAUCCCUCCUAAGGACACUCGGGGAUCCCUCCUAAGGACACACGGGGAACCCGACUCAACGCCAACAAGUCUCCAUUCCACAUCUUUCCAGGCGGUGCAAGGGUAGCCUUGAAAACCUGAAACAAACCCUUCAUUUUGGGCAAUAUGUUCUAGUAGUAGCGUCACAUCCUGGCAGGGUAUUUCUCCAGAACGUAUAGAUGGCAUAAAUGCAGAUGGAGGAAGAUUUGAGAAUACUACCCGUUUGCUCCCUUUUCAGCCUAAGGAAUGCAGAAAAGAGAAUACGAGAAGGUUUAGGAGGUGAAAAAGCAGCACGUGGUUACUGUUCAGCCCUUCCAAACACUUCAAUUUGCUAUUCAGAUUACCACUUUUUAUAGUUUAAUAUGUACAGUAUACAAAGGAACCAGUUGAACAUAAUGGGGAAAAAGCCUUUUGUGUUAAGGUUGAACGUAAUCUAAUACAGCCCUUUGACUUGAUUCAAUUAAAUCCUUUCUUUUCCAAUUAAAUAAUCAGCCAGAAUUUAAUCAAAAUGAAUUUCAGUGUGUCACGGUGCAGAAUGAUGACCUCUGAGAUGGUGAAGGCUUGUGUAAAUUCUGCUGAUCGCUUUUAUCUGCUUGUGCCUCACUUCCACCAAAAAAAUAUCGCCUUCUGUCUGUGUAUUUACAUUAUUUUCUCAUCUCCUCCAUGUGUCUCUGUUUGCAGUAACAAUUCCCAGCUGAAAGGGCUGCAAGCAUCACUGCAUCUUCUAAAAUACCCCUUCUGUGACUGGAUAAAGAGAUGCCCAAGGAUGGGAUUUCUGCUCCGCACCUCUAUUCUGCUGUGCCCUGGCACGCUGCGGCGCCAACAGCCGCACUUUGGCCCUUGCCAAACGCCACCAGAGGCAUCUGUGCGGCCAUUCAUCAGCGAAGAAAAGCGCACCGAGAAAAUCCCAUCCAAAAGACCAGCAAACUCCAGCGGCCACCGCCAGAAAAAGCGCAGCCUGCCCCGAGUUCAAUGGUCUCUUGUAGCGCAUCUCCGCUAAGUCAUUUCCAUCCCACUUACAAUCCUUGCUGAUGUCUAUCGCUUUUGUUUUGCAUCUACAAAGGUCACAUUUUUAUUUGUGCAUUUAUAAUGGCGUUUGGUCCUUCUCGCUCUUAAAAUACUGAGCGCCAAUUCUUUCCUUCCUCAGUUGGAGCAUCUUAACGCAAACCUCGCUAAUGCAUUAGUGCUGCGCUGUAGCUGGAAUGCUAAUGCUUUAGUUAAUAGGUUAUUAAACGAGGCUAAGGAUGCACAGGUUAAAAAUUUGGGUGAAUAUUGGCUUGUCCCUGCGAUGUUGCGGUGACGUGUUUCCCCGGCUCCAUUUCCCGGUGACCUUCUUGCGCUGCGCAUCCCUCGGGACGGCGAAAACAAACCCAUUAAUGUUUAUAAAGUGUCUCGGACUGGGGGAAUUGCAUCACGGCGGUGAGAUACAAGCUUAAUGGAUCAAAACAAACCCCAGGUCCAAACCCCCCCAGCUUAGACACAUCUCAGUUACCCGGCGCAAACCUCGAGGAAUCCCACUGAGAAGGGAUAAUUGAGAGAAAAAUGUGAUCUCGGAGGUUUUUUUCUCCAAUAAACCCAUUUUAUGUUAAUAGGAAGCAGAUUUCUAGGCCGCUUGCAAACAAACGACUUCCACAGCAUAUUUCACAGCUGAGCACAUCUAUGGCACCAGCCUUUAUAAGCAGCUCUAUUAAACCCAGCAUUUGUUUAAUGAAUUACAGCGAUCCAAUGAAUCCAUGUACAUUCAGCCUAUAUUUAAAUGUUUACAGGGACACCAGCAGCCAGCUCUGCACAAACAGGUAUUGGUGUCAGUGAUCAGCUCCCACUACAAUGUACCCAAAAAUGUCACAUUUUUGGGGUUUCUGCUUUCUUGACUAUUGUGGGCAGUUGGUUGCUGUUUAGUUUUAUAAAGCUCUAAGUGCAACUACCCAGGAGUUUCAGGGUUUCUGUUUAACAUAAAACUGUUUGGGUUCAGUGCAAAUUUGGGGGGUUUUCUCCCCAUUGAUGAACCACAUCUGUCAUCUGAUAUAAACUGUUGCACACCUCCCACCUGGCUGGGGCUGGUCCAUGCCACUGAAAGGUGAAUUAAUGCAUUAAAAUCCACACAGUCCAACAGGUUGACAUGCUGCAGCUGUUUCCAGGGUGACCUUAUCUUCAUCUCACCCAUCAAUACAUAAACCUUGACAAAAAGCUGUGGUCCACCCUUCUGUUUUAAUGCAUCCCCCGCUGCAAACUAUGGGUGAAGUGCUCCCUUUCAUGGCAUAAAGAAGCGAUAGCGCUGCAAUAAUUUCACUUUCUUGAAGGGAUACCUCUGAUUUGUGGUGGUCUCCAGGCCAGCUUUGCUGGCUUGUUCCUACAGGUCUCUCUAGGAGAAGGGCUGAGCCCCAAAGGUGCACCCAUGUGGACCGAGCUGCCUGGUUAUGCUUUGCUGCAAAAACUGUUUUCAUUGUAGGUUGGGCUGAAAUAUCCCUAAGGAGCUGGUUGUAGCAUUCAUUAAGUGCAAAGCCCCACUUGAUCUGAAAUGGUCCACAGCAACUGCCCUUGGCCAGCUGCUCCCUGGCAGAAGGAUGCAGGAAGAUGCAGGAGAAAGCAAGAGGAUGCAGGAACAUCCAGGAGGAUGCAGGAGGAUGCAGAGGGAUGCCCUGAGCCCUGGUGCUGGCAUCUCUGGGUGGUUUCAGAGCCGAGCUCAUUGUGUGGGUGCUUGGCGGUGGCUCAGCAAAGCACAGGACCUCUGGCAGCUGUGAGUGGGUGGGUGGAAUGCCAGCAAGCCAUGGGGACCCACAAAUGCAGCUGGAGACUACAAAUUCUCUCCGUAACGCUCCAUGGGAAUGCACUUGCAGGAGCAAGGAGUGACUGCGGACCCAAACAUGCAUGCAUGGUGCUGACGGUGCUGACGUGCUUGGCAGCAGCGAAGUCUGUGUGCUAGUUCUGUAAAAGCCAUUGGAUUUCUCAAAUAGCUUUCCGUAAAAGAAGAGAGAAAUAGGGAGCAAAGAGAAAGAACUUCAGGCAACGUCUGUAUGAAAUGCCAUUUCCCUAUGACAAAUUAGAGGGGCAAAACGUGGUUAGGUUUUUGCAGAACUGAAGGGGUGAUGUGGGAGAUCAGGUCCCACUGAGUUCCUACGAGAGAUCGUCCAUCCUCUGAGGAAGGGGAGAAUGGAAAGUCCAUCUGCUUUGCAGACCCGAUUUACCAGCUGUUCAGACACUACUAUAAGGAUCAUAUACAAACUUAAAUGAAUAAGGAGAUUCUGCAGCAUGUAGGUAGCAGAAUAAUAGGCACGGUGAAGAAAAUCCCGUGAUCAAUCAGCAGACAAAUAUAUACUUAAAUGAGGUGUUAGCGGAACAGAUGCAGGAAAGGUGAUUAUGGGUUGCCUCUGUGUUUCCUUUGGCAACAACGAUGACACGCCGGGGUGGGUCAAUGUACCCCGUCAUUAACAGAGCAUCAGCAUCCCUCUGACAGUCUCUUUGUCCUGGGAAGUCGAGUCCUAUGAAGAUGUGACAUAAGCAAGAGGCACAGGGACAUUCAGACGCUUUUCAGUUGGUUUUGACCUUCUAGAUGCUUUAGCCUGGCAGAUGACAAACAAGACCACUGUCCUAAAUUAAGCAGGAGGUGGGAAUAAACGUUUGUACCCAUUCAAUUGUGGCCAAAAAAUACCAUUGGCAAAACCAGUGGCAGAACAGCCCUUCCCAGCAAACAAAUCUAGAAACAGAGUUGGCAGGUCAGAGCACGUGGGAAGAGUCAGGUAGAGCAUCCUGGAAAGGAAGACGUUAGAGAGAAACGUGAUUUUUGACUGUAAUAUUUGUGAAGAAAGGAAAAUAUGAGAUCCCAAGUGUGGUUCGGGCCUCUCAAAUAAUCCUAAAAUUAAUUCAGAAAUUGAGAGUUCUAUAGUGGGAGUAAAGGAGAGCAGUCUCCGAGGAAGCCAGGCCAGGUAUGUACAAUUGUCUGAACAAAAUAAGGAUGCAAAAUGCUAAAUAAAUACAUUUUUUAAAUCACAGCUGGAUGGACAAGACUGGAAUCACUGAGCUGGCAGGAGGGUUGCCAGAGGGGUUUUAAGAAGGUGAUACGUAUAGAACCUAUGGAUGGCAAUUAAACAGAGCAGGACUACUGCCAAGCUCUAGUGUUUGCUCACUGUCAGUAGGUUUGAUGGGGACAGACACAUCUAACUGCAAAGCUAUCCAAGCGCAUUUAAUUCUUCCAAUACCUACAUACCAUAGCUUGUGUGCGGGUAAUAUGUUCAUCCUAUAACGUUAGUGACUUCGUAACUUCCUUGAGUACAUAUAGAAAAAUAAAACCCCAGGAUGAGGUUUCGUUGGGUGUUGAGCGCAGUUUCUCAUAUUGCCAGCGGCCAUUGGGGGACAACGAGCCUGGAAAAACCUGGGACCUCAAAGCUGGUGGAGAAGACGUGAGUGGAGAGUGGGGAUGCCGGGGACUCGCUCUGUCAUGGUGCGAGACAAAGGGACAAGAAGAGAAACAAAUGCUACCUUUUGUAACAUCCACAUUUAUGAUUCCUAGACUAAAAGUUAGGCCAGACCUGCAGUGAGAGGGGCUGAAGCUCCAGCCCUCGCCCCUCUCACUGUUCAACAGGUCUAGACAAGCACCAGAAAUGACUUGGGGCUGUUGGGCUGAUUUUCUUGCCUUCUGAUGACACCCCAUUAAAACUAACGGUUCAUAAUCUGCGCCGGACCAACUCGGCCUCAAGAUAAAGAUCUGCCUCAUUUGCAGUUACAUAAUUAGCAAUUACCCUAAUUUCACUUAUAUCAAAUUACAUUUUUUUUUUU